rnacentral:rRNA from 1 species
UACGUAGGGCGCAAGCGUUGUCCGGAAUUAUUGGGCGUAAAGAGCUCGUAGGCGGUUUGUCGCGUCUGUCGUGAAAGUUUGGGGCUUAACCCCAAGUCUGCGGUGGAUACGGGCAGACUAGAGGCAGGUAGGGGAGAACGGAAUUCCCGGUGUAGCGGUGAAAUGCGCAGAUAUCGGGAGGAACACCGGUGGCGAAGGCGGUUCUCUGGGCCUGUACUGACGCUGAGGAGCGAAAGCGUGGGGAGCGAACAGG